UACGAAGGGGGCUAGCGUUGCUCGGAAUCACUGGGCGUAAAGGGUGCGUAGGCGGGUCUUUUAAGUCAGGGGUGAAAUCCUGGAGCUCAACUCCAGAACUGCCUUUGAUACUGAGGAUCUUGAGUUCGGGAGAGGUGAGUGGAACUGCGAGUGUAGAGGUGAAAUUCGUAGAUAUUCGCAAGAACACCAGUGGCGAAGGCGGCUCACUGGCCCGAUACUGACGCUGAGGCACGAAAGCGUGGGGA
rnacentral:rRNA from 1 species